GUUUGGGUGUAAUAGGCUACACAAUUCGGUUUCUAGUUGAAACUCUUCUUGACUUAAUCAGUAUAUUUUUGUAAAAGGAAUUUUAUAUACCAAUGAUAUACAUGCUGAAACAUUGGAUAUAUUCAAAUCCACGGUGAGUCAAAGUGUAUGUAAACAUUUUGUAGCGAGGGAUACUCCACCUGGGAUUUGCAUGAUCGUGACUCGGUUAGAGCUCUUGUGUGCGUCUGUCUUUGUAUGUGUACCUGGUAUCCAAGGUAGAACCAUCAUUAGUUAAUCUCACCGAGCAAUUUGAGCCACCCGUUAUGGUUACCCCCUUAUUGUAUUACAGUUCUGUCUGUGUACAAACAGGUGCACACGCAGAGCCUAAUAGGCAUAAUGCGCAUCGUCAAUGACCAUUAAAGUGAAUGCCUGGAUGCGCGCUAAUACACCUCAAGUCCAUGGUCCUACAAAGCCAAGGCCAUGGAUUGGAUUCCCAAUGAACACACCUGCUGUUAAAAAAUGUAAAUCUUGAGUACACUAUGGCCUCUCCCUUCACUGAGAUGGAAUGGUGCACGGUUGUCUGUUCUCUUUUAAUAUUCAGUGUUGUUACCCUGUAUGGUCUAAUACAGGAGAGAUGCAUUCAAAGUACAGACAACAAAGAUAGCAAAGAAAGACUUGAAGAGCCACUAAUCAUCAUCUGAGUCGUGACUGCAUUCAAUGGAAACAUAUUUGUAAAGAAGACUGUUCUGGGAUCAGUUAUGUUUUGUGUGUGGCAUGAAUCUAUUAAUCAAUGGACUUCUAAAAACUGAAGAUUUGGCGUUGCGUAUCAUCGUACUUUGUGGACUCUGUAACACUGUUCUGGGAACAGUCAACACACCUGACCUGCACGCAGCUGCUUAAAGUUCGCUUGCAAACUGAUCACCUGGAUUGAAUCCAGCUGCAAACAAGGGGCUGUAAGAGUGUGCGUUUGUUAUGGAUCUGCCGUUUUCAGGUUUGGAGUUGGUUUUCAUCGUCAUUGCUUUCACUGUCAUGUGCUUAUUUGCCCUGGUUGCUAUCUACAGACAUCAUCGAAAUGAUCAAGAUGAUAUUCAGACAGAGCUGAGGAUUACACAUCGGAAGAAAAAAUCAAAGAAAAAACGACCUUGCAACAAAAUCAUUAUAGACGUACCAUGAACAUACUAACACACAUCUGAGUGCAGUUGACCGGAGGAUUUUCGGAUGAGAUGCAAAGCAACAGGCAGGCCAAGAGUGUGACGUCUCAUACACUCUCCGAAAAAGUUACAAAAGCUGUCAUUUGGGCAGUAUCCUUUAAAAAGUACACCUUUGUGCCUAAAGCGUGUGUAUUACUACCUCAAAGAUACAUAUAGUGUUAAAAAAAUAAUACACAUUUGUCCCGAACUGGUACUUAUUGUUACAUUUUUAAAAGGGUAUAUCGUCCCAAUGACAGCUUUUGUAUAUCUUUCUUUCUGACAGUGUGGUUUUGCAGAAGCCAUUUGUGAAGAUGCUGGAGCUUUGAAUUCAGUGUUAAAUCAAAACAGAUUUAAAAUAUUUUAUUAUGUAUUUUUAAUAUUUUAGUGCAGUUUUCGUGUUUUUAUUGCUGCUAGACUGUGGGUGAGAAUGUAUUAAAUUAACAUUCGUAUUUAUUGUAUUAUUACAUAUUAGAAAAUGUACAAAUGUGAAAAUGUUUUUCUUCAAUUUGUUUAUAUACGAGUGCUGUCUUUAAUUUCCCAAAAGCAGACCGAUCAGAAGAAAGAAGUCAAGGAUGCCUCUGAUCGCUUUGGUUAAAAACAUUCUUAAAAAUAUCUUCCUUUGUGUUAAUCAGAACAAAGAAAUGUAUACAGGUUGUGUAUUCAACAUGAGUGAA